GAUGAACGCUGGCGGCGUGCCUAAUACAUGCAAGUCGAGCGAACAGAUAAGGAGCUUGCUCCUUUGAAGUUAGCGGCGGACGGGUGAGUAACACGUGGGUAACCUACCUAUAAGACUGGGAUAACUUCGGGAAACCGGAGCUAAUACCGGAUAACAUUUAGAACCGCAUGGUUCUAAAGUGAAAGAUGGUUUUGCUAUCACUUAUAGAUGGACCCGCGCCGUAUUAGCUAGUUGGUAAGGUAACGGCUUACCAAGGCGACGAUACGUAGCCGACCUGAGAGGGUGAUCGGCCACACUGGAACUGAGACACGGUCCAGACUCCUACGGGAGGCAGCAGUAGGGAAUCUUCCGCAAUGGGCGAAAGCCUGACGGAGCAACGCCGCGUGAGUGAUGAAGGGUUUCGGCUCGUAAAACUCUGUUAUUAGGGAAGAACAAAUGUGUAAGUAACUGUGCACAUCUUGACGGUACCUAAUCAGAAAGCCACGGCUAACUACGUGCCAGCAGCCGCGGUAAUACGUAGGUGGCAAGCGUUAUCCGGAAUUAUUGGGCGUAAAGCGCGCGUAGGCGGUUUCUUAAGUCUGAUGUGAAAGCCCACGGCUCAACCGUGGAGGGUCAUUGGAAACUGGGAAACUUGAGUGCAGAAGAGGAAAGUGGAAUUCCAUGUGUAGCGGUGAAAUGCGCAGAUAUAUGGAGGAACACCAGUGGCGAAGGCGGCUCUCUGGUCUGUAACUGACGCUGAGGCUCGAAAGCGUGGGGAGCAAACAGGAUUAGAUACCCUGGUAGUCCACGCCGUAAACGAUGAGUGCUAAGUGUUGGAGGGUUUCCGCCCUUCAGUGCUGCAGCAAACGCAUUAAGCACUCCGCCUGGGGAGUACGACCGCAAGGUUGAAACUCAAAGGAAUUGACGGGGGCCCGCACAAGCGGUGGAGCAUGUGGUUUAAUUCGAAGCAACGCGAAGAACCUUACCAGGUCUUGACAUCCUUUGACCACUCUAGAGAUAGAGCUUUCCCUUCGGGGACAAAGUGACAGGUGGUGCAUGGUUGUCGUCAGCUCGUGUCGUGAGAUGUUGGGUUAAGUCCCGCAACGAGCGCAACCCUUAUUGUUAGUUGCCAUCAUUUAGUUGGGCACUCUAGCGAGACUGCCGGUGACAAACCGGAGGAAGGUGGGGAUGACGUCAAAUCAUCAUGCCCCUUAUGACCUGGGCUACACACGUGCUACAAUGGGAAGUACAACGAGUCGCUAGACCGCGAGGUCAUGCAAAUCUCUUAAAGCUUCUCUCAGUUCGGAUUGCAGGCUGCAACUCGCCUGCAUGAAGCCGGAAUCGCUAGUAAUCGCGGAUCAGCACGCCGCGGUGAAUACGUUCCCGGGCCU
rnacentral:rRNA from 1 species